CCGUUGCCGGCGACCGGCGCACGGGUGAGUAACACGUAUGCAACCUGCCCGUGGCAGGGGGAUAAGCGGGGGAAACCCCGGUCUAAUACCGCGUAACGCGGCCUUGGGGCAUCCCAAGGCCGCCAAAGGGAGCAAUCCCGGCCACGGAUGGGCAUGCGGCGCAUUAGCUAGUCGGCGGGGUAACGGCCCACCGAGGCGACGAUGCGUAGGGGUUCUGAGAGGAAGGCCCCCCACACUGGUACUGAGACACGGACCAGACUCCUACGGGAGGCAGCAG
rnacentral:rRNA from 1 species